CAGUUGAAAUCCUUAAUCAACUUAGUGACAAAGGUUGUUCUCCAGUCCUAAUCACUUACAAUACAGUGAUUGAUGGACUAUCCAAAGUGGGGAAAACUGAACUUGCCAUUGAACUGCUGAAUGAAAUGCGAGAGAAAGGUCUCCAGCCUGAUAUAAUUACCUAUUCCUCGCUUGUGUCAGGUCUUAGUAGGGAAGGAAAAGUUGAUGAAGCCAUUAAGUUCUUUCACGACUUAGAAGGGUUGGAUGUCAGGCCCAAUGCUAUAACCUACAACGCCAUUAUGUUGGGGCUGUGUAAAGUUCGCCAAACAGAUCGUGCAAUUGACUUCUUGGCUUAUAUGAUUUCAAAGGGAUGUAAACCUACUGAAUCUACAUAUACUAUUCUAAUUGAAGGCAUUGCUUAUGAAGGCUUAGCGGAGGAGGCUUUGGAGUUACUGAAUGAGUUGUGCUCUAGAGGAGUUAUGAAGAAGAGUUCUGCUGAACAGGUGGUAGUUAAGAUGUAGCUUGAACGCAUACUUUCACUCACUCUGUGGCAACAUAUCGUGGUUCAACCUCUUGGAUCACAGUUUUCUGGAUAUCUACUGUUAAUUGCUUACAGGAGUAUUUGCGGUCGCAUCACCAUGUAACAACCUUUUUUCUCUGUUAGCUAGAAAUAUGAAGUGAAAAUCAAUUUUGUUUGCAAUUAUGAUAAUCCUUUUUCCCAGAUUGUUUCGGCAAAAGCAUACUUUUAGUUCAUGAUUGUUCAUGUACACAUCUUUUGUUCCUAUGUCAGCCAAUGUUUGUAGUGUGCAACCUUACAUCUGAUACAGCAUUCUUGAGGAUAGAUUUUCUCCAAUAUGAACAAAGUAUAGUUAGUUGCAUAGAUGAAUUUUACAAAAAACGUCCUUUUGUUUGUGGACUUGGUAGUUAUGUAUUUGAAUGCAAUGUUCGGAGGUCCUUGUGGUAGUGGUCGGAGAAGGAGACUGCAUCUGUAAGUUUGCUGAUAGGUUGUGGUGCAACAUGAAAUUUGGUUUGUACAAUAGCUUCUUUGCUUUCGAUUUUGGUUUUCAUUCUUUUUUUUCCUUUUUAUUUUGGCAAAGAGCAUUACCUCGAUAGCAGCAUAGGGAAAUUGCAGCUUGCGAUUUCUUGAUUUUCGGUCUUUGAUUCUUUCUGUUCAUCGGGAGAUAUCUGAAACAGCAGAGUUGUAUUGUAUCAUAUCUUUUGUUGACCACAACUCUUCAUAGUGAAAUUUAUACCCCCUUUUGUUUUUACAGCAAUCUCGAUUGAUAAAAGCUCAUGAUGCGUAUAGGAUUAAUUUUUGUUUUUCUCUUGCUUUAAACACCCCCCACCCCACCCAUUCUCCAAUUCAAGAACUUAUGUGGCCCAAACCCAAAUGUGGCCCAAACCCAAAUGCUUUAAACACCCCCCACCCCACCCAUUCUCCAAUUCAAGAACAAAUGUGGCCCAAACCCAAAUGACCCGCCCAAGGUGCGUGAAAUUUAUAAGUAGCCAUUUUUACAGCUGGUCAAUAACAUUUAGCCACAUAUUCAAAAUUCAACUAUAUUUAGCCAGUAGAUUCAGACGGAAACAUUUCGUUGACAAAAAUACCCCUCUAGUGUUUAUAAAAGUUACGCGACAUAGCCUAAUACGUAAACUCUCACGAUUAUUCUUCUCGUGAUUAUUUUUCGUUCAAUUUAUCUAGAGUUAAUCUUCAAUUCUUCUCGUUUCUAAUUGAAAUCGUAGCUGAAAAUUGUUGGCUUGUUGGAUAUUAUGCUGAAUUUCAUAUGAAAAUCCUUUAUUUUGCAGUAAUUUAUUCUGUGAUUGAUUGUGCAAUAUAUAAAUAUGAUUUAAUUUUCAGUACUUUAUGAUGUCAUUAAACAACAAAAUGUUUGUUUGAUUAAAAAGGACACGGUUAAAGGCAUGCCAAUAUCAUGUAUUAAUUGCAGAACUUACUGAAGUCAUAUGUAAAAAUUUCAAAUAUCUAGAAUAUAAUACUGGAAGUUUCUCUGAUUCAUACCAGAAUAAAAUAGUUUGAAAAAAAAUUAGUAUUUUGUAUUGGAUCAUAUGCUAAAAGUUCAAAACACAAGUAUAAUAUAUUGGACCUUUCUGAAUUGAUAUGUAAAAGCUACAAACUCUCCAGUAUAUUAUACUGGAAGUAUCUUUGAUUCAAAAUAGAAAAAGACAUCUAAAUGUCUAGUCUUCCCCUAAUGUCCUGAAUAAAAUGUUGGAUGUUAAGAAUGAAUUAUUUGUGAACAUUAAAUGAAAGUUGUCAUUAAAUAGCUAAAUGUUUGAUGAAUUUAAUACUACAAUUUCAUAUGAAAAUAGUUUGAAAACAGUAUUAAAAGUUCAAAACACCGGUAUAAUAUAUUGGACCUUUUUGAAUAGAUAUGUGAAAACUACAAAAUCUCCAGCAUAUAAUAUUGGAAGUAUCUUUGAUUCAUACCAUAAACACAUAUCUAAAUGCCUAAUCUUCCCCUAAUGUCCUGAAUAAAAUAUUGGAUACUAAGAUUGAAUUAUUUGUGAAUAUUAAAUGCAUCAUGUCAUUAAAUAGCUAGAUGUCUAAUGAAUUUAAUACUGGAAUUUCAUAUGAAAAUAGUUUGAAAAGCAGUAUUAAAAGUUCAAAACACCAGUAUAAUAUACUGAACCUUUUUGAAUACAUAUGUGAAAACUACAAAUAUCCAACAUAUAAUAUUGGAAGUAUCUUUGAUUCAAACAAGAUAAACACAUCUGAAUGCCUAAUCUUCUCCUAAUGUCCUGAAUAAAAUGCUGGAUACUACGAAUGAAUUAUUUGUGAACAUUAAAUGCAGUAUGUGAUCAAAUAGUUAAAUGUUUGAUGAAUUUAAUACUGCAAUUUCACAUGAAAACAGAUUGAACACCAGUAUUUUAUACUGGAGCAUAUGUUAAAAGUUCAAAAUACCAGUAUAUUAUACUGGAUCUUUGUGAAUUCAUAUGUAAAAUCUUCAAACCUCCAGUAUAUAAUACUGGAAGUUGCUCUGAUUCAUACAAGAAGCACACAUGUGAAUGCCUAAUCUUUCCCAUGUUUCACGAAUAAAAUGCAGGAUACUAAUAUUGAAUCAUUUGUGAACAUUAAAUGCAGGAUGCAUACAAAAUUCUUUGAUUAUUGCUUUCAAUGAAAAAUGGACACCAGAUUACAAGUAUUUAAAUCAUAACACUAAGCUUCUGCUUGUAAGUGACGGGAUUUUAUUUGACGCUUCAUUAAGAAGAUUUUUGAAGCUAUUGAAUUGGACAUGAACAAGUUUGAAGCAACAAUAUGGUUUAAUAUGAACCUAGGUACAGGCAAGGGAGUACACGUAAUAAAAGAUGAAGAACUUAGUUCAUGUAUGAUGCUUUUAAGAUAUGAUCCAUACUACAAAGGGAGCACAUUUGUAGUUGAUAUAUCAGAAAUACUUUCUGAAAUUUUUAUUAGAGAUUAACAAGAAGAAGAAAAUGCAAUAAUGGAGAUUGACAAUCAGCAAUUAUUGCAUCCAACAACAUAUAUACCAAAAGAGCAACAUAUGCCGAUUUUCCAAAUUAUAAUAAAAAAUGAGAAUGUAAUUCCGGUAAAAGGUCAACAAUUUGAAACACCACACGCAAUUGAAGGAAGAAAAAGAAAAGCAAAAGAAAAGGCAAAGGAAUCGCCAUCGAUAAUACUAAAAGAAAAUGCAUCAUUGGAUGAUGUAAAAUUGGGGUCUGUUUUUCAAGACAAAAAUACUAUGAUUAGAUGUUUUUGCUUAGCAGUAAUCAAGGAACAUUUUGAGUUCUAUAUUAAAAGAUCAAGUACCACAAGAUACUCUUUGAUAUGCACUGAUGAAAACUGUGGUUGGAAUGUUCGAGGUUUCAGAAUUAAGAUGCCGACACUUUAUAGAAUAGUAAAUUUUUAGAGAAACCAUGAAUGCUUAGUUGACAUUAGAAAGUCACAUCAAAUCCAAGCGACUUCAAAUGUGAUAAGAGAAUGAUUGACAACUUACGAAACGUUGCUAUUGAAGUAAAGUCUAAGUUUGUCAUUUCAGAAAUGAAAAGAGCACAUGAAAUAGAUGUUGGGUAUGGAAAAGCAUGGUGUACUAUUCAAAAAGGAAUAUCUUUAUUAAGAGGAACAACAUAAGAAAAUUAUGAGCAAUUGCCUUCAUAUUUUUACAUGAUGGAACAAAAAAAUCUAGGAACAUAUAGUGACAUUAAGAGAGAUGCAGAAAACAGGUACAAGAAAAACUUGUAAAAUUUAGCAUUUCUUUUAUUUUUUGUCAAUCAUUAUUUCCAGCAAAUUGCUGAAUACUGGAAUGAUACCAGUAUACUACAAUGGAACUUUCUGAAUUGAUAUGUAAAAAUAGAAACUCUCCAUCAUAUUAUACUGGAAGUAUCUUUGAUUCAAAUUAGAAAAACACAUCUAAGUGUCCAAUAUUUUCCUAAUGUCCUGAAUACAAUGCUGGAUACUAAAAAUGAAUUAUUUGUGAACAUGAAAUGCAGGAUUUCAUUAAAAAUACCUAAGUGUUUGAUGAAUUUAAUACUGCAUUUUCAUAUGAAAUAUAGUUUCAAAAGCCGUAUUAAAAGUUCAAAAACACCAGUAUAAUAUACUGGAAUGUCACGACCCGAAAUUCCCACCUUCGGACCGUGAUGACGCCUAACAUUUCACUUGCUAGGUAAGCCAACGUUAGAAUAAUAUUAUCCAUUUUAAAAUAAUUUUUAAAUUUAUUAAUAACAAAGAAACAAAUGCGGAAGUAAAGUCUGAAAUGUAGUGAAUAAUCCAUAAAAAUAACGGUAUCUAAAUACCAUUCCAGAAUUGGUGUCACAAGUGCACGAACUUCUAGAAUAAUAUGAAUAAAGGUCUGAAUAAAAUAAAGCUGUCUGAAAACAAACACACAACUAUAGUAAAGUAGACGGGGAUUUCAGAACUGCGGACGCCGUGCAGUUAUACCUCACGUCUUCUCUGGUAGCUGAAAUCCGAGCAAAUCUAUGGUACGCCGCUGGGACCAACUCCGAAAUCUGCACAAGAAGUGCAUAGUGUAGUAUCAGUACAACCGACCCUAUGUACUGGUAAGUGCUGAGCCUAAUCUCGACGAAGUAGUGACGAGGCUAAGGCAAGUCACUUACAUUAACAUGUACGCAAUAUUAGUAACAACAACAAAUAAUAAAAAUAAAUCAGGUAACUCAUUUAUAAUAGUUGAAGCUAACUCAGCAACCAUAACCAAUUAUUAAUUCAACCAAUUUCCGUUUGCAGCGUGCAAACCGCUCCCACAUUAUAUUUAUUUUCAAUACUCCAAUAUAUUUAUUUUAAUCAAAUAUAUAUAUAUAGACUUUUAAAUAUGUCUGUUGCGGGGUGCAAUCCGAUCCCCCAAUAUAGACUUUUAAAUAAGUCUGUUGCGGCGUGCAAUCCGAUCCCCCAAUAUAGACUNNNNNNNNNNNNNNNNNNNNNNNNNAAAAAAAAAAUUAAAAAUAGCCGUUAGAGGCCCGUUAGGCCCGGUAAGACCGGCCCAAGCCCACCAGCCGGUCUCGGGCUUAGCGGUCCCGGGCUCGUGGGCUAUUUUAUGUGACCCGGCCCGCCUCGAACUUUUUGCACCACUAAGGACCGGCACACCAGGACCGGCCCGCCAGACCCGUUUAGCCCGUUAGGACCGCAGGCCCGAUCCGGUCUCGGUCCCAGCCCGGCCCACCAUACAGCAUUACUCCAUGGGCUAUUUUUAGUUUAUGCGGUUAUCUGGGCGGCUAUUUGGGUUAGCUCUUCUAGGUUUUAACUUUUAAGGCCUCAAGCCCUUGAUGGGUCGCCAGCCUUAUUUAAUCCAUCAACCAUUUGGGCUUCGGUUCACCUGUCAAAAGACAGAAACAGAGGAUAAGAAGAACCGGCAAAGAACGCGCAGCUCUGUCGCUCUCUUAUCGUAGCCCUUCUUAGCCGGAACAAAGCUCUCAGAGUAAGUUCCCUGUUUCUUGCUAACAAUCUUCAUACAGUAAACAACACAACAAGUUUUUUUGCUUUUUUACUCUCUGCAGUUUUUGGUCAAAAAAAAGAAAAAAAAGCCUUGCCUACAUAGAUAGUCACAUAGAGUCUAGAAUGAGCAGUCCUUUUAGUUCUGCUUUUGAAUACUGUUACUAGUUUUUUGUUGUUGUAAAAACUUUCUGAUGGAGUUAAUAGUGCCAACGAAGCAAACCCAUGAAGGGUUUUGCUCAUUUCACUCUACUCGUAAGGAAAUUACUAGUAAACGCUUGUGGGGUUGUAAUAAUAGGAGGUUCAGAAGCAGUUCAAUAAAGGUACUUGUGGGUCAGUUGAGAAAACAGAGACAAAGUAAGGUAUUUGCUAUUUCAAGAAGUGAAACUUUAGGCACGAAUGGUAGGUUAUCAUGUGUUGAAAAGAGGCCACAUGUGCAAGGGAGCAUAUCUGAAAACUUUGAGGAAUUUGAGAGUAAUAAUUAUCUUCGUCGGUUGGUCAGGAAUGGGGAAUUAGAAGAAAGUUUUAAGCACCUUGAGAGUAUGGUGUAUGGUGGUGAUAUUCCUGAUAUUAUUCCGUGUACAAGUUUGAUUCGCGGGUUUUGUAGAAUUGGCCUAACUAAGAAGGCUACAAGAGUUUUGGAGAUUCUUGAGGAUUCAGGGGCUGUUCCGGAUGUUAUUACUUACAAUGUGUUGAUUAGUGGUUAUUGUAAAUCUGGAGAAAUUGAUAAUGCUUUGAAGGUCUUGGACCGAAUGAGCGUUGCACCUGAUGUGGUCACGUACAAUACAAUUUUGCGUACCUUAUGUGAUAGUGGGAAAUUGAAACAAGCUAUGCACGUUCUCGACCGUAUGUUGCAGAGGGAGUGUUACCCUGAUGUGAUUACCUAUACAAUUUUGAUCGAAGCAACGUGUAAGGAAAGUGGCGUGGGACAGGCAAUGAAGCUGUUGGAUGAAAUGAGGAGUAAAGGAUGUAUACCGGAUGUGGUCACUUAUAAUGUUCUUAUCAAUGGGAUUUGUAAGGAAGGGAGAUUGAAUGAAGCUAUCAAGUUUCUGAAUAAUAUGCCAUCUUAUGGUUGUCAACCUAAUGUUAUUACGCACAAUAUAAUAUUGCGUAGUAUGUGUAGUACGGGUAGAUGGAUGGAUGCUGAGAAACUGUUGGCUGAUAUGGUUAGAAAAGGCUGUUCUCCUAGUGUUGUCACGUUUAACAUCUUGAUCAAUUUUCUAUGCCGGAAGGGACUGUUGGGAAGAGCUAUUGAUUUGUUGGAGAGGAUGCCUAAGUAUGGAUGCACUCCAAAUUCCUUGAGUUAUAAUCCAUUGCUUCAUGCAUUCUGCAAAGAGAAGAAAAUGGACCGGGCGAUUGAGUAUUUGGAAGUUAUGGUGAGUAGGGGUUGUUACCCUGAUAUUGUGACUUAUAAUACGUUGCUCACAGCUUUGUGCAAAGAUGGUAAGGUUGAUGUUGCAGUUGAAAUCCUUAAUCAACUUAGUGACAAAGGUUGUUCUCCAGUCCUAAUCACUUACAAUACAGUGAUUGAUGGACUAUCCAAAGUGGGUAAAACUGAACUUGCCAUUGAACUGCUGAAUGAAAUGCGAGAGAAAGGUCUCCAACCUGAUAUAAUUACCUAUUCCUCGCUUGUGUCAGGUCUUAGUAGGGAAGGAAAAGUUGAUGAAGCCAUUAAGUUCUUUCACGACUUAGAAGGCUUGGAUGUCAGGCCCAAUGCUAUAACCUACAACGCCAUUAUGUUGGGGCUGUGUAAAGCUCGCCAAACAGUUCGUGCAAUUGACUUCUUGGCUUAUAUGAUUUCAAAGGGAUGUAAACCUACUGAAUCUACAUACACUAUUCUAAUUGAAGGCAUUGCUUAUGAAGGCCUAGCAGAGGAGGCUUUGG
rnacentral:lncRNA from 1 species